CACGUAGGUACCAAGCGUUGUCCGGAUUUAUUGGGCGUAAAGAGCUCGUAGGCGGUUCAGUAAGUCGGGUGUGAAAACUCAGGGCUCAACCCUGAGCGGCCACCCGAUACUGCUGUGACUUGAGUCCGGUAGGGGAGUGGGGAAUUCCUGGUGUAGCGGUGAAAUGCGCAGAUAUCAGGAGGAACACCGGUGGCGAAGGCGGCUCUCUGGGCCUUACCUGACGCUGAGGAGCGAAAGCGUGGGUAGCGAACAGG
rnacentral:rRNA from 1 species